rnacentral:misc_RNA from 1 species
UACCCUAUAAGAUGGAAAUUGUUUCCACAUACCUGAAAGCCAAUUAAGGAGCCAGAGUUUUCUCAGAGAAAAACAAAAUUUUGUUACAUAUUUCUACAUGUUUGGUUACGUUGAUGAAUGUUAACUGUUGGACAGGUUAAUUGACGGCAUUGAGAAUAUCAUUACAUGUAUUGUAGUAUGAAUUCUCGCCCGAGACAUCUCACCCUGGAACAGUGAAAAUCUUGGGGCUGCUGCAGAAGUCAUUGAGUGGAUGAUUGCUACUUUAUAUUGCACUGCUACAAU